UGAAACAAAGAGGGGCAGGCACCAGCAAAGGUAUGGCUGAAGUAGAUACUGGCAGAGUCCAAUGGAAAGAGUGCAGGAAUGGAGUCAGUCUUAGUUGUGAAACUGACUUAUGUAACUCUGAGAGGUCACUCCCCUUCGACUUAGUUCCUCUUUUGUAAAAUGGUGGGAAUGGGAGGGGAGUGGUGAGGGGAAGAGAGGCAACUAUAACAGUGAGUAUGGGAAAUACACUUUGUGAAUUCUAAUGUGCUCCACAUUUAGGAAUUAUUAGCAUUGCCUUCAUUCUGGACACCAACUAUACCCAACUCCUGGGGACAAGUCUGAUGGCAACAUCAACAGUAGGAACAAUAGGUUAGAGCAUUUGAUAAUACAUAAUGAAAGGAAUAUAAUACACUAUAAUAUAUUAGCCCACAGCUUGCAUGCAUGCAUAUGAUGCCCAAGCUUUUCAAAGACCCAGUACCUCUUUGGGACCACUAGCGUUACUGUGCUGGCACUUCCAGGGAGGAAAAGGCAUGUGAGACUGGAUUCAAGGACCAAGUGGUUCCUUCCUCUGUUCUUUUUUCAGCUACGACACUGAAGACCAUCAUAUGUUCUCAAACUAUUACAGAGAUGCCUUUCACCACCCCUGCCAUCACCUUGGCCACCAGCAGGUACAACUCCUUUUUGGAAAUCCAUUUGUCUCCAGGACUCCCAGCCUCUGCACUUAGUUGGCAAUGCAGUGAUCCUGAACAACCCAGAGAGAUGUAUGAGAAAGAACACUAUCCACAUUCAGAGGAAGAACUGUGGGAGUAGAAACGCAGAAGAAGGGGGCAGCUGGGUAGCUCAGUGGAUUGAGAGCCAGGCCUAGAGAUGGGAAGUCCUAGGUUCAAAUCUUGCCUCAGCCACUUCCCAGCUGUGUGACCUUGGGCAAGUCACUUGACCCCCAUUGCCUAGCCCUUACCACUCUUCUGCCUUGGAACCAAUACACAGUAUUGACUCCAAGACAGAAGGUAAGGGUUUAAAAAAAAAAAAGAAAAGAAACACAGAAGAAAAACGACUGCUUGAUUACAUGGGUCGAAGGGAUAUGGCUGGGCAGGUAGACCCUAAAUGAAU
rnacentral:lncRNA from 1 species